AUUGAACGCUGGCGGCAGGCCUAACACAUGCAAGUCGAGCGAGCGGCGGACGGGUGAGUAAUGUAUGGGGACUGCCCGCUAGAGGGGGAUAACUACUGGAAACGGUAGCUAAUACCGCAUACUAUCGGAUAACCCAUAUGGGAUUAGCUAGUAGGUGAGGGAAUGGCUCACCUUGGCGACGAGCCCUAGCUGGUCUGAGAGGAUGAUCAGCAACACGGGGACUGAGACACGGCCCAGACUCCUACGGAGGCAGCAGUGGGGAAUAUUGCACAAUGGGCGCAAGCCUGAUGCAGCCAUGCCGCGUGUAUGAAGAAGGCCCUAGGGUUGUAAAGUACUUUCAGUCGGGAGGCGUUACCGACAGAGGAAGCACCGGCUAACUCCGUGCCAGCCGCCGCGGUAAUAC
rnacentral:rRNA from 1 species